rnacentral:tRNA from 1 species
GCCGGAGUGGUGGAACUGGUAGACGCGCUGGACUCAAAAUCCAGUGGGCUUUUCGCCCGUGCGAGUUCGACUCUCGCCUCCGGCACCA